rnacentral:rRNA from 1 species
ACGUUGUUCGGAAUCACUGGGCUUAAAGGGCGCGUAGGCGGACCGAAAAGUCAGGGGUGAAAUCCUCCAGCUUAACUGGAGAACAGCCUUUGAUACUGGCGGUCUCGAGGAAGGUAGGGGCAUGCGGAACUGAUGGUGGAGCGGUGAAAUGUGUUGAUAUCAGCAGGAACUCCGGUGGCGAAAGCGGCGUGCUGGACCUUUUCUGACGCUGAGGCGCGAAAGCCAG